UCCGGCUUUCACCGGCUGUCUCGCUAGAGUGCCCACCCGAGGUGCUGGCAACUAGCGAUAAGGGUUGCGCUCGUUGCGGGACUUAACCCAACAUCUCACGACACGAGCUGACGACAACCAUGCAGCACCUGAACCAGCGGUCCCCGAAGGGAGAGUCCUAUUUCUAGGACGGUCCGCUGUUGUCUAGUCCAGGUAAGGUUCUUCGCGUUGCGUCGAAUUGAACCACAUGCUCCACCGCUUGUGCGGGCCCCCGUCAAUUCCUUUGAGUUUUAGCCUUGCGGCCGUACUCCCCAGGCGGGGUGCUUAAUGCGUUAGCUUCGGCACGGAUGGGGUCGAUGUCCACCCACACCUAGCACCCAACGUUUACGGCUAGGACUAC
rnacentral:misc_RNA from 1 species